rnacentral:lncRNA from 1 species
UUUUUUUCUCUAUUGAGGCAUAUGAUAGAAAGAUUUCAUAUCGAAAUGUAUAAAAUUUUUGGUCUGACGUCCGUGAACUUUUCACUCUUUGAACUUCUGUUUGGGAACCACGUAAAAGGAUCAAUCCAUGAAUCUGUUAUUUUUCUACAUUGUUGAAGCAUAUGAUAAAAAGACCAUAACAUGUCAUUUUUCAUAUCGCAUGUAUUAUCAACCCUAGGUCAAUAUCAGCCCUCGAGCCAUGGCGGCUCUUGGGCUGAUAUUGAACUUAGGGCUGAUAAUACAUGCGAUAUGAAAAAUGCCAUGUAAUAAUCUGAUAUUAUUUUUUUUAUUUAGUAUUACCAAUAUUCUUUAUUCUUUAUAUUUUAGCACCCCAUUAUACUUUUUUCUUUUUUUCUUUUUUGCAUUUCAUUCUGCAAUUUUUUGCCCAUUAUUCUAUAUUCCGUAAACCCCAAUCAGACCCUCUUUUAUGGAACAUUUUAAAAUGAAAUUAUACUUUGUAAAAAAUAUGAUACAUGAAUGUUCAUUAUCAAUAUACAUAUAUCUAAAACAAUUACUAAUUCAGACAAAAAUACAUUGUAAGUACAUGAACGCAAAAAUGGUAAAAACUUAAAAAUAGAAAUCAUCAGGGUUACUGUCUACAAGUCGACGCAAUAAAAGAUGUGAUUGAAGCUAUAUUUUUUUAUGCCCCCCCUUCCUCAACUACCCUUGUACGUCUGUCCGCCCGUCAUUCCGUCUGGCCGCCAGUCCUUCCGUCCGUCCGUCCCCCUUUAUAGUUAUUCCGCAAAACAUCUACAGUUUGAAUCCUAGAACGUUUUCACAGUAAAAUACGCAGACAAACUGACAUCUUUGUUAAUAUCUUUUUUGUUCUGUAUAAAAUUUAUUGUAUACAAGUCUACAAAAACGUUUUAAAAAGUUUACUAAAUGGUUAUUGUUCCAUAAUUGUACAUAUGUAUGCUCGAAGUAUAUAUAGAAUCAGAUACAUGAUAAAAGGGGGGGGGGUAGUAAUAACAGGAAACUAAAUUAAACUAAGGCUUGUAUGGAUGUAAACUUCAAUAAAACUGGAAGUUACAUAAGGGGGACAGGAAAAUAAGAAUAUAUUGCAUCACUUACAACAACCUUUAAAUUGACCAGUGAUUUUUUAUUCAUUACUGACCAGCAACACCGAGAUAAUCCAACGAUUUUUUAAGGGUCCGUAUUAAGUGUGGACCUAAAUGUUCUUUAUCUUUAAAUAUAACGCUUAUUCUGUAAAAUCUUCAAUUAACUAUUUUGUAAAAUUCUUCUAUCAUUACAUGAUUUCUUAAUUCAGUACAUGGUCUACACUAUUGUAUUAAAUAAUUAUUUUAUUUUCCGUUGUUAUUCUUUAUAAUUUUGCAAACUUUUUUGUUCAAUUUUGACAUUCGCCAGUAUCCGUUAUUCUGCAACUCCCUUUGAGAUCUAAUUAUAUGUGACAAUAAAUUAAUGUGCUCUCUGAAUUUCGCUUUCUCUCAAGACAUUGCACGGUCUUUGUAGUACAGUGUAUUUUCCAGAAAAUAUAUCGUGUAAAAACAUUUCCAAGGAAACCAAACAUACGGAGUUUGAGAUGUGACAUGAAAACAGAUGUACAUAUUUAUGUUUAAUAUGCCUACAAAAAUACCCCCCCCCCCCCCCCAAAAAAAAAAAAAACAAGAAAAAAAACAAUCGCACACAGGCUGAGACAUGACUGGAAAUAUUGUGUUUUCUGUUAUUUAGUCCAUCUACACAAAAAAGGGGGACCUUUAACGGGACUCCGGGAUCGGGUGUUUUUAAGCACGGGAUUUCGGGAUUGAUCCUUUCUGGAUCCGGCUAUUCUUUUUUUCGAAUUUCGGCGGGAUUUAAAUUUCUAUAAAUUCUGGACCUCGGGAUUUCAUGUUUUAAAGUCCGGGAAUUCAGGAUCAGGACCCCUGCCCCCUCUACAAAUGCAUAUCAUAAGAUGUCUUUUCCUUUUUAAUUUUCUUUUGGCCUUGUGUUGUUGUCUGGUUGCUGUCUUAUUGAAGUACUG